GACGAACGCUGGCGGCGUGCUUAACACAUGCAAGUCGAACGAAGUGGCGAACGGGUGAGUAAAGCGUAAACAACAUGCCCUUCAGAGGGGGACAACAGUUGGAAACGACUGCUCAUACCGCAUACUGAAGGAUGGGAUUGCGUCUGAUUAGCUAGUUGGAGGGGUAACGGCCCACCAAGGCGAUGCUCAGUAGCCGGUCUGUGAGGGUGAAAGGCCAUAUUGGGACUUGGGCACGGCCCAGACGCCGACGGGAGGCAGCAGUGGGGAAUCUUCCGCAAUGGACGAAAGUCUGACGGAGCAACGCCGCGUGAUUGAUGACGGCCUUCGGGUUGUAAAGCUCUGUUAAUCGGGACGCGGUACCGGAAUAGAAAGCCACGGCUAACUACGUGCCAGCCGCCGCGGUAAUAC
rnacentral:rRNA from 1 species